rnacentral:lncRNA from 1 species
GUGAUGGCGAUGGCGGGGGCUUAUAAUGAGUUGGCGGUGGAGGUGAAGGCAAUGGAGGUGGGGGCGAAUAUUCUACACAUGGUGGCGGUGGAGGGGGAGGUGGUUCUAUACAAGGGGGUGGGGAUGGAGGUGGUGGCAAAUGGACUGGUGGAGGUGGCGGGGGAGAUUGGUAUGGAUAAAUAGGAGGUGGGGGUGAAUGUGGCGGUGGAGGUGGUUCUAUACAAGGGGGUGGGGAUGGAGGUGGUGGUGAAUGGACUGGUGGAGGUGGCGGGGGAGAUUGGUAUGGAUAAAUAGGAGGUGGGGGUGAAUGUGGCGGUGGAGGUGGUGGUGAGCUAUAAAUGUAAGGGUUUGGCGGUGGUGAGGAGUACAGUGGAGGAGGUGGUGGAGGAGAAUUUGGCGGAGGUGGUGGAGGGCGGACACAAUACGGUGGUGGUGGAGAAGAGUAAACAGGAGGGGGCGGGGGUGAUGGUGAUGGAGGAGGAGGCGGAGGCAAGUAUACAGGCGGGGGUGGUGGCGGAGGAGGAGGUGGUGGGGGUGGAGAGUAAACUGGCGGGGGUGGUGAAGGAGGUGGAGGCGGGGGAGAGUAGACUGGCGGAGGUGGCGAAGGAGGUGGGGGUGGUGGAGGAGGAGGUGGCAAGUAUACUGGUGGUGGUGGUGACGGUGGCGGAGGAGGUGGCGAGUAUACUGGUGGCGGCGGUGGUGGUUGCGGUACUACAACUGGUGGUGGUGGUGAAAUAACUGGCGGAGGAGGUGGAGGUGAGGGUGAUGGUGGCGGGGGUGAUUGCGGUAUUACAACUGGUGGUGGUGGUGAGGGCACCGGCAUUGGUGGAGAUGGGGGAGGUGGCGGGGGCAAGGUAGGAACAAAGGGUUUACAUUUAAAUGAAGAACAAUCCACGCGCUUGGACAGGAAUGACUUACAUUGCGCUGAAGACCUCUGUGCUGGCCUUGCUGGCAAGCAAUUCCUCCUGUCAUCAAAAGCUUGUAAGCUCA